CGCGUAGGCGGUCUUGUCAGUCCCUUGUGAAAUCCCCCGGCUCAACUGGGGAACUGCAAGGGAAACAGCAGGGCUUGAGUUCGGGAGAGGGAAGCGGAAUUCCGGGUGUAGCGGUGAAAUGCGUAGAUAUCCGGAGGAACACCGGUGGCGAAGGCGGCUUCCUGGACCGAUACUGACGCUGAGGCGCGAAAGCUAGGGGAGCAAACG
rnacentral:rRNA from 1 species